rnacentral:rRNA from 1 species
UACGGGGGGGGCAAGCGUUGUUCGGAAUUACUGGGCGUAAAGGGCUCGUAGGCGGCCAACUAAGUCCGACGUGAAAUCCCCAGGCUUAACCUGGGAACUGCGUCGGAUACUGGAUGGCUUGAAUUCGGGAGAGGGAUGCAGAAUUCCAGGUGUAGCGGUGAAAUGCGUAGAUAUCUGGAGGAACACCGGUGGCGAAGGCGGGUCUCUGGGCCGAUACUGACGUUGAGGAGCGAAAGCGUGGGGAGCGAACAGG